AGAGAACAAACUACCAAUUAACGAGCGAGGAAACAGGGCCAGAGAAUUGGAACAAAAUACAAGGCUGCCUCUGAAAGGAAUAUCUUUGUGCUGAUGUGUCCAUCAAGAGAACAUACACAGAAGUGACACUUGCCAGUAAUUUGCAAGCAGAUGGAACUUCAAUAUGGCAAUAGAGAAAGAAUCAAUUAGACCAGAGUCUCCUCAGGAAGACUUUCUAUAGGUGGACGGUCCCCUGGAGAGCCCGCUGUGUUGGAAGAUGUAGAAUAUUCAUAUAUCUGGUGAGCAUCUGCUAGAUGCCAGGGUUGGGGAGAGUCAAGUUGAAGCAAGCAUGAACCCUCAAGGACCUACCAUUUCAAGGCAAGAAAUAGAUACAAAUACAGCGUAAUUAUCUCUCCAAUUAAAGAGCAACCAAGGGACAACUGAACUGGAGGUUCUGCAGAAUUACAACUAAGCACGCAGCCGAGGAAUCUACUCAGCUUUGAUCUCUUAUCGCUCUGCACACACAGCCCUUUCUCUGUAAGGCUAGCUGCUCUCAGCAUCACUGUGUCUAAUCAAACGUGUCACACCUCCACUGAGAAAAUAUUUACUGGAUAGCUACUAGACAUAAGGAUGCAGAAAUGAAUUAGAAAAAUUCCUCGCCCUUGUUCAAAGCUAUGCUGGCUCUUAGAACAUCUGAGCCCCCACUGUUUCAUCUUUAGAGGAUCCCAGCUGCUGGGGUGUGAGGCCAGUGCUGGAGCCAGCAGUCUCUGACCCAGAAGGGACCUGAGGUGCUAAAGAAAAGAUAUUUAACACAGACACAGAGAGGACGGUGCCACUGGAAGUCAUGCAGCCGCAAGUCAAGAAAUGUCAUGAGUGGCUCCUCUCCAGAAACUAGGAGAGGAGCAUGGGGCAGGUUUUCUCCUAGUGCCUUCAGAGACACAUGGCCCUGCCGACACCUUGAGUUUGGAUUUUUGGCCUCCAGAACUGGGUACAAGCUGGAAAAGGGGAAAAUGAAUCAUGCUACAGGCCAAGUGUCCAUCACUGAUUCCCAGAGAUGCCCUUUGUGUGGUAGGCACUUCCAUGUGGACUCGCUACAGAGUUUGGAGUUCCUGAACAACAUGGACAGUGUUAAUUUGGAUUCCAUGCUUCAUGGCACAGAAUUGGAGCACUAACUACUCAGUGAUGACUUUCUCUUCCUCUAGCUAAGGUGAUCAACAAGUUUCCUUGUUCUUUCUCCAAGUAGUAGAAGAAAGUAAAGGUCAUAAGACCCUAAUUCCAGAGGGCCCUACCCUAUAACCAGAAGGAAGAACUAUUGCACAGAGAAUCUAAGAAGAAUCUAGACAGACAGCCCUUGCUGGAUUUCUCCACUCUGUUAGCAUUCGAUCAUUUGCCUUUUGUCCAGUCAUAUUUCUGCAUGGCUGUCCAUACUUUGUUGAACCUAAGCACAAAAUGGAAAGUUUUCCCUGUAUCUUUGGGUCGUCAU
rnacentral:lncRNA from 1 species